CGCAAUUUCAACAAGGGCGCACGGUGGAUGCCUUGACACCAAAAGACGAAGAAGGACGUUGUAGGGUGCGAUAAGCCUCGGGGAGCUCCCAAACAAGCGGUGAUCCGGGGAUGUCCGAAUGGGGAAACCCACUCCGACGCAAGUCGGGGAAUCGUACACUGAAUCCAUAGGUGUAUGAAGAAGACCUAGCGAAGUGAAACAUCUCAGUAGCUAGAGGAAAAUAAAUCGAAGAGAUUCCCCCAGUAGUGGCGAGCGAAAAGGGAACAGCCUAAACCUUAUAUUUGUUGCUAUCGUAAGAGGUUGAUCGCAAGAUUGAUUUUGAACGGUAGCUUAAAGGACAGACCGUUGAAUAUAAGGUGUUGCAAGAUAGAUAUGCCGGUUUUCUGUAGGCCGGGUGAGUACAGGUUAUUUUUUAGCGGAAUUGUUCUGGAACGAACAACCACAGAUGGUAAUAGUCCAGUACGCGAAAAAAAAUAACCUAUCAUAGUGUCUAUUCUUAAGUAGGGCGGAACUCGUGAAAUUCCGUCUGAACCCAGGCCGACUAUGGUCUAAGGCUAAAUACUUUUGGUGAUCGAUAGUGGACAAGUACCACGAGGGAAAGGUGAAAAGCAGCCCGGGAGGGCGAUGAAAUAGUAUCUGAAACCGUGUGCUUACAAAGAGCGGGAGUCCUGGAUGUCGCAAGAUGUUCGGAUGACCGUGUUCCUAUUGAAGAAUGAGCCUGCGAGUAUGCUGUAUGUCGUUGCUUAAACCCCUCUGGGGUGGAGGCGUAGCGAAAGCGAGUCUUAACGGGCGAAUAUAAUGGCAUGCACAUAACCCGAAACCGGGUGAGCUAUCCAUGACCAGGAUGAGCCCUUUCGAAAGAAAGGGGGAGGUCCGAACCCACGAGCCGUGCAACACUCGGGGAUGAGUUGUGGAUGGGAGAGAAAUUCUAAUCGAACUCGGUGAUAGCUGGUUCUCCUCGAAAUAGUUCUAGGACUAGCCUCGAGAAUUCCUUGCGGUGGUAGAGCACUGGAUGAGAAUUGGGUCCUUCGGGAUACCGUUUUCAAUCAAACUCCGAAUACCGCAAGUCACAUCUCGGGAGUCAGACAGUGACGGCUAAGCGCCAUUGUCAAAAGGGAAACAGCCCAUGAUCGCUAGCUAAGGCCCCUAAAUCCAGAUUAAGUGUAAAAGGUGGUGUUAACUCUUAUACAACCAGGAGGUUGGCUUAGAAGCAGCCAUCCUUUAAAGAAAGCGUAACAGCUCACUGGUCAAGAGUU
rnacentral:ncRNA from 1 species